rnacentral:snRNA from 1 species
AUGCAGAUUUUAUGGAAUGAA